UGUGUCAACUUGCUUUGACUUGUCAGAUGGAGGGUGGAGAUACACCACACCUCUAGUUACUUUUUGGUGAGAGGUAAGGGGGAACUGUUGCUUUUUCAAAACUUGAAUAGCAUUGUUUGUGUAAUGAAUUUGCUGCAACGAAUUAUUGUGAAAUGGCAUGAACUGGUAGUUGCUUUAGGAUAGUAGCAGAAUUGAUAAUGUGUUAUGUGUGUUAGUGUAGUGUGACAUGAGAGUGAUAGUUUAACUAACUACAGUGUUUUUUGGUUCUAUCAUAGCAAAAGGUGAGUGUGUCACAGUUGAGUGCAAGUGUUCCUCUUGAGUGGUCUCACACUGUUUCUCAUAUUCCUUUUGCCGAUGAAUUUUGUUGCAUACUGGACAAACAUCAGGCAUUGGUGAGUGAGCUCAUGUUAUAUAUGGGGUCUUGCACGUUUUUCACAUUUCUUUUAUUUCAUUUAUUUCGUCAUAUGUACUGGAUGAACACAUCAGGAGGCAUGGGUGAGUUUUUGACAUUGGAGUGCUGGUGUUGUGUUGUCUCACAGUGUUUCUCAUAUCUAUCUUAUUUCAUCAUUCUGAAUCAAACUUUAGGCAACGGUGAGCGUCUGACAUUUAAGUAUUAUUUUAGUGCAGCCUUCAAAGGUUUUUUGUAUUUCUCUUGCUAUCAUUUGCUUUGUCGUUCAUUGGAUGAAUGUAAGGUGAGUAAGUUAAUUUAUAGUGUGCAAUGUAUGCAUGUUUCCUUAUGUGAAGAGUUGACUGUGGGCAAUAUUAUGGUCAGAUUUUGAGUGUGGUCGAUCUCAAUAAAUGCCAGUGGGUACACAGUGAUUUAAGCAUAUGUGCUUACAUGUAUGACACUUGCACAUGGCUUUUUUGAUGAAGCUGUGAUGUCAUUUUAGGGCCUUGAAACCAUCUUUUAUGUUACAAAAUUUGUAAACUCAACCUAGGAUGCUGCAUUUACAUGAGAGAUUAGUGCUAUUUGUCAUGCAUGAAAUUACAAUGAUUUAGUUUUGCAAUAUCUCAUUUUCUAUCAUUUUUCUGUAUUACAGUUAGUUAAAGGGCAAAUUCUUUCUGAUUUCGGUUGCUGGUUCUAUUGCUAUUCAUGAAAGAUAACAGUUUAGAUUUGGUAGUUGCAUCUUUGAUGUUAAUAGCAAAUCAAAGUUCUUUUCUGUUUUAAACUUCUGAUAAAGGACAAAUUCCGAGAGCUAUUAUCACUGAAUUUGUACCUGCAUAUUCAAGUACAUUUUCAUCAUGCUGUGAUUCAUGUGAUGAUGAAGUGGUAUCUUUCCUCAACAAGCAUUGGAGGAAUUGCUUUUUAAUAUCUUUACCUUGGAUCUUGAUUACAAUGGUAUGAGUGAGACAAUUGAGUUCAGUAUUGCUGUUUUGUGGUCUUACGCUGUUUCUCAUGUUUUUCUUGGUUCUAUGUAUUUGUUUCACCCUUACUGGAUGAUCAUCAGGAGGCAUUUGUGAGUCUUGAUAGUUGAGUGUUGGUGCAUGUUGUGUGGUCUCAUGCUGUUCCUUUUGUCUCUUUUUCUCAUUUAUUCCAUAACUUGGUGGAUGAAUAUCAGAUGG